rnacentral:rRNA from 1 species
AACGAACGCUGGCGGCAUGCCUAACACAUGCCAGUCGAACGAGACCUUCGGGUCUAGUGGCGCACGGGUGCGUAACGCGUGGGAACCUGCCCUUAGGUUCGGAAUAACUCCCCGAAAGGGGUGCUAAUACCGGAUAAUGUCUUCGGACCAAAGAUUUAUCGACUUUGGAUGGGCCCGCGUUGGAUUAGCUUGUUGGUAGGGUAAAAGCCUACCACGGCGACGAUCCAUAGCUGGUCUGAGAGGAUGGUCAGCCACACUGGGACUGAGACGCGGCCCAGACUCCUACGGGAGGCAGCAGUGGGGGAUAUUGGACAAUGGGCGAAAGCCUGAUCCAGCAAUGCCGCGUGAGUGAUGAAGGCGUUAGGGUUGUAAAGCUCGUUUACCCGGGAUGGUAAUGACGGUACCGGGAGAAUAAGCACCGGCUAACUCCGUG